UUGAACGCUGGCGGCAUGCCUUACACAUGCAAGUCGAACGGCAGCACGGGAGCAAUCCUGGUGGCGAGUGGCGAACGGGUGAGUAAUGUAUCGGAACGUACCUUUCAGUGGGGGAUAACGUAGCGAAAGUUACGCUAAUACCGCAUAUUCUGUGAGCAGGAAAGCAGGGGAUCGCAAGACCUUGCGCUGAUUGAGCGGCCGAUAUCAGAUUAGCUAGUUGGUGAGGUAAAGGCUCACCAAGGCGACGAUCUGUAGCGGGUCUGAGAGGAUGAUCCGCCACACUGGAACUGAGACACGGUCCAGACUCCUACGGGAGGCAGCAGUGGGGAAUUUUGGACAAUGGGGGCAACCCUGAUCCAGCCAUGCCGCGUGAGUGAAGAAGGCCUUCGGGUUGUAAAGCUCUUUCAGCAGGAACGAAACGGUCGGCUUUAAUAAAGUCGGCUAAUGACGGUACCUGCAGAAGAAGCACCGGCUAACUACGU
rnacentral:rRNA from 1 species